rnacentral:rRNA from 1 species
CCUACGGGUGGCUGCAGUGGGGAAUAUUGGACAAUGGGCGAAAGCCUGAUCCAGCCAUGCCGCGUGUGUGAAGAAGGCCUUCGGGUUGUAAAGCACUUUCAGUGGGGAAGAAAGCCUUGGGGCUAAUACCCUCGAGGAAGGACAUCACCCACAGAAGAAGCACCGGCUAACUCCGUGCCAGCAGCCGCGGUAAUACGGAGGGUGCGAGCGUUAAUCGGAAUUACUGGGCGUAAAGCGCGCGUAGGCGGUCUGAUAAGCCGGUUGUGAAAGCCCCGGGCUCAACCUGGGAACGGCAUCCGGAACUGUCAGGCUAGAGUGCAGGAGAGGAGGGUAGAAUUCCCGGUGUAGCGGUGAAAUGCGUAGAGAUCGGGAGGAAUACCAGUGGCGAAGGCGGCCUUCUGGACUGACACUGACGCUGAGGUGCGAAAGCGUGGGUAGCAAACAGGAUUAGAUACCCGAGUAGUC